UACGGGGGGGGCAAGCGUUGUUCGGAAUUACUGGGCGUAAAGGGCUCGUAGGCGGCCAACUAAGUCAGACGUGAGAUCCCUCGGCUUAACCGGGGAACUGCGUCUGAUACUGGAUGGCUUGAGUUUGGGAGAGGGAUGCGGAAUUCCAGGUGUAGCGGUGAAAUGCGUAGAUAUGCGGAGGAACACCGAUGGCGAAGGCAAUCCCCUGGGCCUGCACUGACGCUCAUGCACGAAAGCGUGGGGAGCAAACAGG
rnacentral:rRNA from 1 species